GUAAAUGCAUCAUCCAGAAAUGGUUGGAUAAAUUUAACUGAAAUUGGAUGAAAAGUAUAUGUCAGAUAGAAAAUAAUGAACUAAUCGGCUCGUGCAGGUGGAAGACAAGACUCUGUUCUCAAACUUGAAUCCUAGCAAACGUCGUGCGACCUCAGGUGUCCCUUGAUUUCUUUUAUCACAAUCAUUAAGAAGAACGCAUUCUGAAUCGGCUGGAUUAGAGUUGCUGGCACCACAUGACCCAGUAACAAGAGACGAGUAAUCACAAACAGCCAUACAAAAGAGAAGGAAUAUACCGGGGGAAAUCCCUACAUGUAGCAUUUAACACAUAGGCCUACAGGAGAGAUUAUUUAUAACUAAUUUUUAUCCACAAAGACGGAAUUCAUUUUGUAAACCAACUAUUUAUUUCAUGGAUAACUCAACCGUACACGUUGUCUUUAUCUUCUUGCUGUUUUAAAAGUGAUGGGCAGUUAAUUAUAAAACUACUAAAUAAGUAACUGCGUAGAAGUUUGGUCUGAAGUUUGACUGUUUUCUCAGAACAAAUUCAAACUAUAAUUGUAAUUAAUCAAACUAUAUUAUUCAAACUAUAAUUGUAAUUAAAACUGUAAUUAAUAUUACCAAAUCACAAAUCAAUAGAGCCGGGAUCUUUUUUAAAAAUAGAAAAGACACCUUUUGGCAUGACAUCACGGUGAAAGAAUUCAGCUUUAAUAUUAAUUAAAUUAAAACUCUUUGCGAGGUCGCCGUACUCGAGAGGUUGACGGCUAGAAAUUUCAAAUCUUCGGUUCAGUACAUGUUAUGAAGACAGAAAUCCAUUCGAUUCAGAAAUAAAAGAUCAACUAUUUCCGAACGAUAGUUAUAGUCAUUAUUAACAUUAUACUGAGUUAUGGGAGUUUGAAAGUCAAAUGCGAUCGUAUACUAUCAAAUUACUUCGAGCCUCGAGCUCACAGCUGGACAAGAAAUGGAAAUGCCGUGAAAAAAAUGCAAAUUUGAAGAUACAGGCAUGUAAAUAACAAUCUAAAUAGUGUUGUUGAUGGGGAUUCGAACAAGACUAUUACAAAGACGAUAUGUUUGAAGGGACCGAAGUUAUUUUUGGCGAAAGGUAUGGCUAGUCUAUAUUUUUGUUCAGACAAUCGCGUGAGCUAACCCAACCGGAAAUACGACUAAAAAAACGUCAAAACAAUGCGACGUUUGCAUCGUAUGACCUUGCAAAUGACCUUGCAAAUGGCCUAUGAUUUUUACAAAAAGCGUGUGCACUAUUUAUGUGAGAACACGAGUUUAUGGGAGGGGGAGAGAAAAUAUACUCGCUAUACUUAUCGCGGCAUAUCCCUGAUAAAAUAUAAUUGAAACCAAAUCUGCCAAAUCAGCGGCACCGGCUAUCGGGCAUUAGCUGAACGAUAAGCGACUGUAAACAGUGUUAUUUAGACCAAAAUGCUUUCAGCCAACCGUACAGCUUUAGCUAAAGUAGUUUUAUAAGCCUAGGCUUGCUUACUCGAAAAAAUAAACGCUUUUGACGAGCUCUUUGGUUAUUUAUUGAACUACAUGACUCGACGCUGAUUAUAUUAACAUACGGUUAUUCCGGUGAAAUAGGGGUUACGAAAAAAUUCGUCAAAAAUUCAAUUCUAAGUUGCCCGAAAAUUUUAUUCGAUCAAUAGCAAGCGAAAACAUAUUUCUUUGAUCUGGUUAAGAUUUUUUGUCUGAAUCGAUGUAACAAUGGAGAUAUUCGCUGCCUAAUAUGGCAUAUAAUAAAGAGGUUCGAAAAUAAUAAACAUUAAGAAAAUCUGUAAAAUAUUCACUUUUAACAGAAAUGUCCCUAAAUUUCGUCUGCUGCUCAAUAAAUAACUCUAAUUUAUAAAACGAAAUCAUGUUUUGUGAAAUAUUCCCAUUAACGCGCAAAAUAGAGCGAUUUCGGUAGGGCCGUAAAAUGACCUUUAAAAAUCGAACGUGGCCUGGGAAAACCAAUUUCGACGUCUCUCUCCUUCAAUAUUUAUCCGAUCGAAAUAAAACUUUCACAACAUUAAUACUUCAUAUAGGCCUAUAUUCUCACAAAGUUUCAAGGAUUUUGAAUUUUCUCAUUUUACACGUCUUACCUGAAUAUUACAGACAACCGCUCUUAAGAUCAUUGUUAGUAGGAUCUUGUCAAUAGUUAGCUUAAUCUCCUGUUAAUUAUAGCUUCAUAGAGUCCGUAAAAUUCGUAAGUCAACGAUCCUGCCAAUGAUCUUUCUUUAGGGACCGGUCAUUAUUUAUGGCAGGGGUGGGGGCCGAAGAGAAAGUAUAAUGCAGCCGGAAAAAAUCCUACACUACUACUACAAAAAAAAGAAAAAAAAAAAAAAAAAGAAAAAAAAAAGCUACCCCACCGGUGGAAUGCUGAAAAAAGUUUUUACCCCACCCAAACCUAUUUUGUUGCAACGUCAAAGGUCCAGACAUAAAAUAUGUAAUAUGAAACAGUUUAGUAUUUUGUAUGUGUAUUACUCAUCAAGGUCCAAAAUUGCCAUUGAUGAGUAAGAUCAUCUGCCGUUAGAGAGUAAAUAAUAAUUAUUAUAGGGUGCUUUGACCACAGUGGCAUUAUAAUUAAAAGGGAAUGGGAUUGAUUGGUAAAUGUACUUGUUUACCAAUAUCUCUUGCCCCUUAAUUCUUGUAUGAUGGGUUACAGUACCUCUACAGUUGCAAGGUACUAUAUAAAGAAUUAUAGUUAUCUGAAGGCUUAAAAUUUGUCUGCUGAAAAUAAGACUUGUCAUUUGUGUAGUAUGUUUCCUUUCAAUGGAAAUGCAAAUUCAUAAUAUAGAAUAAUAAUUUAUGUUAUAAUUAAGCUUUAAUUAGGGUGGACCCAUAGGGAAAUGCCAAUAGAAUUAAAGGAUUCUAACAUUUCUGGACUGGAGAUUCAGAUGGAAGUUAUAUUGCUCACUCAUAUUAAGACUGGCAUGCACUCUGACUCAAGCAACUGCACUGUAAUUUGCAUGUUAUGGGAGACAUGGGGGUUUGGAUCAAUGAAUGCUAAAAUCUCGGCAGUUGGCCAUUUCAUAUUGGGAUACUUCGCUAGUUUACGUUUAGCUUUUACAUACUUGUUAAAUGGAAAUAUAAUUGGGGGUUUAUAGUUUGUAUUCAACGCUAUAUUCCCUUUUCACGAGAUAGUGCAAUGCUAUAGUCCCAUAAACAUAUAUAUUAACCACUGAUAUAAAAUCUGUAAGCAUAUAUUUCAAGAUUUUAGAACACUAACCGUAUCUCACCACCCCUAUCUCUUUCCCACUUUAAAGUUUCACUGUAUACAAUUUGGUUUCUUUCACAUUCUUGCAUUUCUUUAUUAAUUAAAAUGCAAUUUUAUUUUGAAAUAGUCUCACAGAAUAUUUGCUCACCCAUGAUUGCAACUAUCUAAAUUCUAGAAUUUCCUAAAUUCCUUUAAAAUUUCCUUAAUAUAGACAAUCACAUGUAAUUAUCAUGGAAUUUUAAAGGAAUUCCUUAAGAUUCCCACCAGGGCUGCCACUCUCGACAACCUAUUUUCACCUAUGGCGGGCACUGAAAUCCCUACGUAUCCCCUACAGCACGAUAUGCAAUUUUCCCCUAUGUCCCCCUACGUUCCCCUACAAAUAUUGUAUUUUCCCUACAAAUAUGGUCAUGGGUCACUGGGCUGUAUAAUAACUGGAGGAUUUGCUCCUAUACUUACUACACAAUAGAGAGUUAAGCUUCACGUUCAACGACAAACGUCAGGCAAAGAAAAAUUCUACGAUAUAAAGCAAUAAAAAGUAAAUGGGCUUGUUGUUUCAUACGAAAGAAAAAAUGACACGCAGAAAUGGAACGAAAAUUAUGCCAAGAAAAGUCGGCCUUGCCAUUUGGCGCUCCCGCAUACGUGAAGCUUAAACUCCCUUUUUACUGUAAAACCCGAGCAAAAUUGCAAAAACCUAAAGUUUUUUCAGGCAACUAGGAGGUGUGGAAAUUGCAGCGAGCUCAAAUCCGAGCCAGGUCAGUGGUAAUUACCAUGAGAAUUACGGUCCAGUUGUCAUGGAAAUGCCGUCAGCCAAGGCCAAAAUCCGCCAUGUUUUUAGCUGUACUUUUUUUCGCGUGCAGGUUCUCCUGGGUAAAUACAAUAUCAUUAAUCACAUGAUAUUUCAGUGCUUCCACAUUCAAAUUUAGAUUUCUAGUUGUUUCCAUACAAUCCUGCAGUUCCAUACAAUGUUCCAUACUCCAUAGAAGCCAUACAAUAUUAAAAUUUACGGAAGGACUGAUUCGGAUAAUCACAAAAAGAGAAAUACGAUAUUUGUAGAUAAACCGUGAAAGAAACCCCCCACGUUUCCCUACAAAUUACCUUUUUCCCCGUAGGUAUCCCCUACUCCCUACAAGAGGUGAUAAUCCCCUACCGUAGGGGAAUCCCCCUACGAGUGGCAGCCUUGGUUCCCACGGAAUUCUUGAAGUUUAUGAAAUCAAUUUAAUAGUUUAAUUUGUAAACAAUACAACAAUAUUAAAGUAUAGUGUAUGUCCCAUGUGAG